GCCCAGCCGUAAACCUUUAAUUACACCCGUAUCGCCAGGGAACUACGAGCUAAGCUUAAAACCCAAAGGACUUGACGGUACCCCACAUCCACCUAGAGGAGCCUGUCCUAUGAUCGAUAACCCCCGCUUAACCUCACCAUUUUUAGCAAUAUCAGCCUGUAUACCUCCGUCGUCAGCUUACCCCGUGAGCGCUAUCUAGUGAGCUCAAUGUCUUUACAUCAAUACGUCAGGUCAAGGUGCAGUAAAUGAAAUGGGAAGAGAUGGGCUACACUUUCUAACCUAGAACAUACGAAAGACUAUCUAUAAACCCUAGUCAGAAGGCGGAUUUAGUAGUAAAAAGAGACUAUAGAGCUCUUUUUAACUUGGCACUGGGGUGUGUACACACCGCC
rnacentral:rRNA from 1 species